rnacentral:rRNA from 1 species
CGGCGCUUCUUGAUGGGUGUGCGGCUGAUUUAGAUAGUUUGGCGGGGUAAGGCCCACAAGUCUACGAUCAGUAGCUGAUGUGAGAGCAUGAUCAGCCACACGGGCACUGAGACACGGGCCCGACUCCUACGGGAGGCAGCAGUAAGGAAUAUUGGUCAAUGGACGCAAGUCUGAACCAGCCAUGCCGCGUGAAGGAUUAAGGUCCUCUGGAUUGUAAACUUCUUUUAUCUGGGACGAAAAAAGGCGAUUCUUCGUCACUUGACGGUACCAGAUGAAUAAGCACCGGCUAACUCCGUG